AAUCAACGCUGGCGGCGUGCCCAACACAUGCAAGUCGCACGAGAAAGCGGGCUUCGGCCUGCGAGUAAAGUGGCGCACGGGUGAGUAACACGUGAAUCAUCUACCUCCGAGUGGGGAAUAACCUAGAGAAAUCUGGGCUAAUACCGCAUAACACUUACGAGUCAAAGCAGCAAUGCGCUUGGAGAGGAGUUCGCGGCAGAUUAGUUAGUUGGCAGGGUAAUGGCCUACCAAGACGAUGAUCUGUAUCCGGCCUGAGAGGGCGCACGGACACACUUGGACUAAAACACGGUCCAGACUCCUACGGGAGGCAGCAGUGGGGAAUUUUGCGCAAUGGGGGAAACCCUGACGCAGCAACGCCGCGUGGAGGAUGAAAUCCCUUGGGAUGUAAACUCCUUUCGAUCGGGACGAUUAUGACGGUACCGGAAGAAGAAGCCCCGGCUAACUUCGUGCCAGCCGCCGCCGUAAAAC
rnacentral:rRNA from 1 species